UACGUAGGGUGCGAGCGUUGUCCGGAAUUAUUGGGCGUAAAGAGCUUGUAGGCGGUUUGUCGCGUCUGCUGUGAAAAUCCGGGGCUCAACCCCGGACUUGCAGUGGGUACGGGCAGACUAGAGUGUGGUAGGGGAGGACUGGAAUUCCUGGUGUAGCGGUGAAAUGCGCAGAUAUCAGGAGGAACACCGAUGGCGAAGGCAGGUCUCUGGGCCACUACUGACGCUGAGAAGCGAAAGCAUGGGGAGGCGAACAGGAUUAGAUACCCGU
rnacentral:rRNA from 1 species